rnacentral:misc_RNA from 1 species
UUACAAAAUUAAAAUCUAUAUGAACGGAUUGUAAUAUCAACCUACAUUAGAUCAUACUUAAGCAAGCACCACAAACUCAAUGUAAUAUCCUCACUCCAAAAAAAAUAAUAAUAAUAACUGACCACCAAUGUCAUUUUGCUCAGGUUUAUUCUCAAAUAGUACAUACAUGCUAAACACAUUUGGGUUUGACGACCAAAUCAUUUGCCACACACCUCACCCAUACAUACACACAAACAUGCAAUCAUUAACAUCAUCAUAGUUAUGUGGAACACAUUGGACUACAGACAUAGCCAGAGAAGUGAAAAUCAUAUAAUAAAUGGCUAUAAAUGAGAAUAAAUCAUCACAUAUUUAUCUAGUCUUGUCAUUCAUCUAAGAUUUUCUCUAUUAUGUUGAAACUUAACCAUGUGCUUUUUGUAUUUAUAAACAUAGAAUGAAUAAUAACCAAUUUUUAUUCCAAUUCCAAUAUCCAGAUAAACUUAACGAUUACAUAGUAAUCAAAUUUCCAUUCCAUAUUGAACCAAACACAUAGGAGAAUUAACCAUUCCAUUUCCCAUAAUGUUCAAUUCAGAUUCUCAUUUCCUUACCAAAUCUGGAUUCCAAACUAUAUGACCACAUUUAACUAUUUUUGGGCAAGUCCAAUACCCAAAUCCUACAGAGACAUAUGCUUAAAGAAACAAAGUAGCUAGAUAUGAAGGAGUGUCAAAAUGUUAGCAAUAGCCAAUAAGAAAAUGAAAAUCCAAUACCCG